GACCGCUCAGGUGGCCUAGUGGUUAGAGCGUCUGCCUCGGAUGCAGGAGGUCGCGGGUUCCAACCCCGGCCAAGUCA